rnacentral:rRNA from 1 species
AGAGUUUGAUCAUGGCUCAGGACGAACGCUGAGCGGCGUGCCUAAUACAUGCAAGUAGAACGCUGAAGAGAGGAGCUUGCUCUUCUUGGAUGAGUUGCGAACGGGUGAGUAACGCGUAGGUAACCUGCCUUGUAGCGGGGGAUAACUAUUGGAAACGAUAGCUAAUACCGCAUAACAAUAGGUGACACAUGUCAUUUAUUUGAAAGGGGCAAUUGCUCCACUACAAGAUGGACCUGCGUUGUAUUAGCUAGUAGGUGAGGUAACGGCUCACCUAGGCGACGAUACAUAGCCGACCUGAGAGGGUGAUCGGCCACACUGGGACUGAGACACGGCCCAGACUCCUACGGGAGGCAGCAGUAGGGAAUCUUCGGCAAUGGGGGCAACCCUGACCGAGCAACGCCGCGUGAGUGAAGAAGGUUUUCGGAUCGUAAAGCUCUGUUGUAAGUCAAGAACGAGUGUGAGAGUGGAAAGUUCACACUGUGACGGUAGCUUACCAGAAAGGGACGGCUAACUACGUGCCAGCAGCCGCGGUAAUACGUAGGUCCCGAGCGUUGUCCGGAUUUAUUGGGCGUAAAGCGAGCGCAGGCGGUUUGAUAAGUCUGAAGUUAAAGGCUGUGGCUCAACCAUAGUUCGCUUUGGAAACUGUCAAACUUGAGUGCAGAAGGGGAGAGUGGAAUUCCAUGUGUAGCGGUGAAAUGCGUAGAUAUAUGGAGGAACACCGGUGGCGAAAGCGGCUCUCUGGUCUGUAACUGACGCUGAGGCUCGAAAGCGUGGGGAGCGAACAGGAUUAGAUACCCUGGUAGUCCACGCCGUAAACGAUGAGUGCUAGGUGUUGGAUCCUUUCCGGGAUUCAGUGCCGCAGCUAACGCAUUAAGCACUCCGCCUGGGGAGUACGACCGCAAGGUUGAAACUCAAAGGAGUUGACGGGGGCCCGCACAAGCGGUGGAGCAUGUGGUUUAAUUCGAAGCAACGCGAAGAACCUUACCAGGUCUUGACAUCCCGAUGCUAUUUCUAGAGAUAGAAAGUUACUUCGGUACAUCGGUGACAGGUGGUGCAUGGUUGUCGUCAGCUCGUGUCGUGAGAUGUUGGGUUAAGUCCCGCAACGAGCGCAACCCCUAUUGUUAGUUGCCAUCAUUCAGUUGGGCACUCUAGCGAGACUGCCGGUAAUAAACCGGAGGAAGGUGGGGAUGACGUCAAAUCAUCAUGCCCCUUAUGACCUGGGCUACACACGUGCUACAAUGGUUGGUACAACGAGUUGCGAGUCGGUGACGGCAAGCUAAUCUCUUAAAGCCAAUCUCAGUUCGGAUUGUAGGCUGCAACUCGCCUACAUGAAGUCGGAAUCGCUAGUAAUCGCGGAUCAGCACGCCGCGGUGAAUACGUUCCCGGGCCUUGCACACACCGCCCGUCAA